rnacentral:lncRNA from 1 species
GUCAUCCUGAGGCGCUGGCCAGUAGCGUCAUCAGUUUGAGCCGCUUUCCUUGCCUUGGUCCCUGAGAACCGUCUUCCGACCCUUCCUCCUUCGGUGCUGACUGCUCCCGCGGCUCUUUACGCUGAGAUGUUUCACUGACUUCUGCCUGAGAUCUGGAAAAGGAACACUGCCCAAUAGAUGAACAUGUGUGAAAAAUAACUUCCAAGGAACAUCAUGGUACUAAGUAUCAAAUGGAAAGGGAAAGCGAGCAGGCAUAUUUCUGCCAUGGCAGAAACAGCUCUCAUAGGCUUCAGAAAUAGCCUCCUCCCCGCCGCACCCCACCCCCACCCCCGAGUUCGUCUUCCUCCUGAUGCGGGAGGCUUGACUCCAGGUGUUGUUUAGUUUCCUUAUCAGUAGCACGUGAUGGGGUUCACAUAUCCACUGCCAGGUCUAGUGGUUGCUGCUUGUUACUAAUCCCGAGGCUAUCCUCAGAUCCCUCAUCUCUUCCGCUUUCUUACAGUGCGCAGGGACUGUGCUAAACAGAAAACUGUCAGUCACUGCGGGAAUGUGCCUCCCUGAUCGCCGCGAUCGCCCGCUGCCGCAGCUGUUUCUCCUUCACACGCAUAGGCUCCCUGUCUUGCAUGGGAGGGAGCAGACCCAGGGGACACCAGACCAACUUGAGUUCACAUGGGUUGACUAUCCACACCUCUCUCCUCUGUCUUUGGUAUCCCGUGAAGUGUGCUGUGUCUCCUCUACCCUGUGAUUCCUGUUCAUCUCAGGAAGCAGCUGAAAGGGUCAGGAAGGUCCUGGGACAUUAAACUACUGUUUGGAUGAU